AGUGUCGCCCUUGUUGUUGUUACAUCGUGAAACGAGGCAAAAUGGGCGAAACAAUUGGUUGCUAAUUUUUUCAUAGAUCAAGUUUAUUUAUAGAUCGUGUUUAUACUUAUAUUCCUGUGAUUUCUUAUCCCAAAUUGAACUUUGUAACUUAUGCAGGUUUUUUUCUUGACCGAAUUUCCUUAUUAUUGUACUGUACCAACUUUUUUCUACCAAAUUUUAGAUGCAUAGCCCUACUGUAAGUCAUUCCGACAAGUUGACUUUUAGCUCUCAGUAACUUUCUAUCCAAUAGACCCAUCAUGCUGUCUAAGCCUAAAACUCAUGUUUGAAGCCCACACUUAGAGGAAUAAAAAUGUAUCGAGAUAAGGAUCUUUUCUGAAUCUUGCAAUUUUGGUGACGUACCCUGCAACAUCAUGUUUGUUGUUGUGGCUGUUUUUUCUUUGGUUUAGAAGGCAACCCAGCUAAGACUAAGAGUUUCAGUGACAUGAAGAGUGUGAAGUGAAUAACCUGAAACCUGCAUGCAAUGUGUAUGUACAUGAACCAUUAUUGUAUUUGUUUGGUUGCUUCCUUGAUGUUAAAAUGUUGGCUGAAUUCGGAUGACGGGUUAGAUGACACAUGCAACCUUUUCUGUUGAAUAUCUAUGCAGUGCAGAAUUAGUAGGUCACUAGAGCAGCACGCACUUGAUUCCUUCCAUCUCAGAUGGAAAAAGGACUCGUCUAUUCUGUGAUUUUAUGUCAUCAGGAAACUUGGGAUGCUCUAAUUAUUAUCAUACUUGUGUACCCAACCAGGUUUUAUGUUUUCACGCUCCUAUCCACGGACGGAUGAAAAUUACUCGGCUUACUUUACAUGGGUAGUCAAUUUUACCGGAAUAAUACGCCGUGACAAUUUACGUAACGAACAGCUCGAGAAGUUCUUCUAUCCCCGGGGGAACAUUACGUAAAACUGUAAAUGUUGUGGAGUAGAGACCCAUCCCCCAACCUGCAGAAGGAAAGGCCAGUUUGCAUUUUCUUCAAUCGAAGGUCACGGAGAUCAUUAGGUAAAAACGUUUCAUGCAGUGAUGUAGAGGUUGGGUGAGAACGGGAAGUUUUGCAUUAUUAUCAAGAAGGUAGAAUAACCGCAAGGCUUAAGAGGAGGGGUGAGAAAAAGUCGUAUAAAAAGGCGAGAGAAAAGUCGACAGGGAUCAGUCGAGCGAGUAUCUCCGACACGGUAACAUCUACAGUGCACUUUUUGCCACUAGCUGCAUUCAUCAGUUUUCAAUCAUG
rnacentral:lncRNA from 1 species